AAAAUGCCACCUUUUUUAUAAUUUUAACUAAAAAUACCAUCCCUUCCCAAUUUUUUUACAACUACCACCUAUAAAUACAUUUUUAUUGUGGAAUUAUUGUACCCAUUUCAGUUUUUCAAAAAUUGGGUUCUCUCUCAACUCUCUUGGCUCUAUCUCUCUUCAGCCCUUCUCUCUCCCUCGUGUAACUCUCUCUCUCUCCGACGCAAUCGUCUUUCUCCCUCAGCGGUGGCUAUUCAUCCAAGCUUAACUCCACGAUUCACAUCCACGAGAUGUUCACAUAUUAACUGGUGAAAAUAAUUGAACAGAGAAAAUCCAAUGAUGCAGAAGUCGAGUCACUGCGAGAGGAAUACCAUCAAAGGGUUGCAACACUUGAAAGGAAGGUGUAUGCUCUUACAAAGGAAAGGGACACGCUUCGGCGGGAGCAGAAUAAGAAAAGUGAUGCAGCUGCUCUUCUGAAGGAAAAGGAUGAAAUAAUUAAUCAAGUUAUGGCUGAAAGUCUCUUUCUGUCCCUGUCUGUCUCUGUUUCUCUUGAGAAGCUCAAUAUGUUCUACAUAUUUUGUGCCUCAUAGUGAAUUUCCGUUACUUGUAAAUCAUGAUUUCUUUAGCGUAUUUAAUUGCAUUGUGUUUUUCGUUUCGGGUAGAACAGAGUUUUCAAUGAUAGGAUUUAUUUGGAAAAAAGGAAUUCUGGUAGUUAUGCUGUGUUCUCUAUUUUUGCAUGAAAGUUGAAAGUAAGAUGUCCCAUCUAUAUGUGUGACAGCUUCAGGAUUAUGGCCUUCGUCUACUGAAAGGAAAUUGCUAUUUGAUCCUGUUAUAUCUUUUAUGGGACAAACAAAUGAGGGAAGUAGUGUUGAUUCAUCACAGAAAGCUGAGUCUUCAGAGCAUCCGCCAAAGGUUGACAAAUCAUCAGGGGAAUCUGAAUCUCCACAAAAACUCUCUACUGUUGAGGCAAAGGAAGGGGUCAAAACAGAAACUUUACAACACUCUUCAACUGAACAGAUGGCUGAUAAGGAGGAAACUGAAGUUGUCAAGGAAGAAACAGAUGAUAAGCAUGCUGCGACGGUGGAGGAAACAGAGACUGUGGUAGCAGAGCCUGAAAAAUCUGAAUCUGAAUCUGAAAAAUAGAAAAUCUAUAUGAUGGGGGUUUUCUGGCUAGCUAAAAAUCUAUUAUAAUGGCAAAACCAGCAGGUGGCCCUAGUGAGAGAGAUCAGCAUGCAGGGAUGGAUGAGGACUAAUUUUGUGUGUAUGACAAUUGACUAUCUUUGCUUGUAUUGCUCUAUGUUAGGGAUCUUUUGUUCCAUUUUAGUAACAAUUUUGUUUAGGAGAAAAAGAAACAUAUUGCAGUUCAUGCUUUGUAAAUGCCAUCUUCUGUUAUGAUGGACACGUGGUAUGCUCUUGUUGGGUAGGUUUUGGAUUGAAACCAUGGUCGAGUGCUUGAGCCAUGUUUAGUGUGAAGCUUGAAUGGAUUUUCUUUUCUGUUGUAUUUGGCCCUUGUCUUUUCAAGCAUGCCAAAAAUCAUCCUAGUUUUGUAAUAUGUGGUUUGUGUCCAAUUAAUUUACUGUGGACCUUGCAUUUU